CCCCUCUCAGGGUUGCACCUGGAGACUUUCCAGGGCUCUCCCAGUCUCGGCUAUGGAAGGGAGAGUCAAGCAGAGGCGUACCCAUUCCAUUCCUAGGUUGGCCAGUGGCUAGCGAGUGGACGGCAAUCUGCAACAAGU
rfam:Ornithorhynchus anatinus chromosome 17, whole genome shotgun sequence.